GUUCUGGUGGCUGAUCUGCCUUCUCUGGCUCAGAGUCCAGGAGAGAAAGAGGGAGGAGGUCAAACAAGUGUGCUGCUCAAGGCCAUGGCCAUGAACUUUCAGGAAAACGUAACCCUGGCCAUGGCUGUAUUCACCAUCCUUGCCUCCAUCUACUUCUUCAACAAGGCCCAGCAAUGAGAAGACAUGGGACGCCGAGUCCAGGAGCUUCUACCCUGGAUCAUGACUCUGGCCUCUGAGACCAAAUAAAUGUGACUGCAGCAGCAUAA